rnacentral:pre_miRNA from 1 species
GUGGAGCGCCGGAUCUUGGGCUGUUUCCCCGGGGCCCUGUGCUCCCGGGCCUGCACUGUUCCAAUCGCGCUCCCGGCAGCGCAGCUCCCU